rnacentral:rRNA from 1 species
GAGGUAUUUUGACUGUGCUAAGGUAGCGAAGUCAUUUGUUUUUUUAUUGGAAACUUGUAUGAGGGGAUUUUUUGAGAAAUUUUUAUUAAUUUUUAUGAUUUUGAAUUUGAUUUUUUAGUGAAAAGGCUAAAGUGUUCUUAAAGACGAGAAGACCCUAAAAUCUUUAUUUUACAGAAGGGAUAGUAAAUUUUACUUGGGGGAAGGUUGUAUUAUAAUUUAUAAAAAUUUGUUAUUUUGAACUUUUUGAAGGUUGAUGGGAUAGAUACUUUAGGGAUAACAGGAUAAUGUGAUUUUAAAGUUCUUAUUUGAGAUUGAGUUUGUUACCUCGAUGUUGGCUUUUGA